GCCUAGAAUAAUAAAAAACGGGCUCUAUUCUAAUAGAGAAGAAAUGUGGUUUGGCAUCAACAAGGGAGUGGAUAAGAUUCAGUGUAACCAGAAAAAUGCAGCUUCCAGCCUCAUCCUGUGAUCAAAGCAAAUGUGUUCUUCUGAGUGGUUAGUUGCUCAGGUAUUUGCUUUAGCACACCCACCAGGGGGCCUCAGUGAAUUUUUUUUUCUCUCUCCAGGAAGGAUGGUAAAUAGAACUUUGAUCCAAUGGAGACUCAUCUUCGAUUCAUGGGUUGGGAAGAUCGGGAAUGGCUGCCCACUCCAGUAUUCUUGCCUGAAGAAUUCCAUGGACGGAGGAGCCCAGCAUGCUGUUGUCUGUGGAGUCACAAAGAAUCGGACACGACUGAGCAACUAGGACUUUUACCUGGACUUCCUUUCCUCUGAAAAAGCUUCCUAAACCUCCUUUAGAAGG
ensembl:lncRNA